rnacentral:piRNA from 1 species
GAGCAUCGCCGUCUACUCGUCCUUGAAGA